AUACGGAGGAUCCGAGCGUUAUCCGGAUUUAUUGGGUUUAAAGGGUGCGCAGGCGGCCAUUUAAGUCAGCGGUUAAAUCGUGGGGCUCAACCCCAUUCUGCCGUUGAUACUGGGUGGCUUGAUUGCGGUCGAGGUUGGCGGAAUUCGUUGUGUAGCGGUGAAAUGCAUAGAUAUGACGAAGAACACCGAUUGCGUAGGCAGCUGACCAGACCGCAAAUGACGCUCAUGCACGAAAGUGCGGGGAUCGAACAGGAUUAGAUACACUGGUAGUCCGCACAGUAAACGAUGAAUACUUGUUUUCGGCGAUAUAAUGUCGGAGGCAAAGCGAAAGCGAUAAGUAUUCCACCUGGGGAGUACGCCGGCAACGGUGAAACUCAAAGGAAUUGGCGGGG
rnacentral:rRNA from 1 species